UACGUAGGGUGCAAGCGUUGUCCGGAAUUAUUGGGCGUAAAGAGCUCGUAGGUGGCCUGUCGCGUCGGAUGUGAAAACUCGGGGCUCAACUCCGAGCUUGCAGUCGAUACGGGCAGGCUAGAGUUCGGCAGGGGAGACUGGAAUUCCUGGUGUAGCGGUGAAAUGCGCAGAUAUCAGGAGGAACACCGGUGGCGAAGGCGGGUCUCUGGGCCGAUACUGACACUGAGGGACGAAAGCUAGGGGAGCGAAUGGG
rnacentral:rRNA from 1 species